CGGGGGACUUCUGUGAAGCACCGUGCGGGUGGGAAAAGGUUUCAGGGAGUUGGGCUGUGGGAGAAACAUGUGAGGUGGCUAGGCAAGGCCAUGGCACGUGCCCUGGGCUUGUGCUGGCCUCCUGCCACCAACCAGCUGGCCCCAGCCAGCCUGCAGCCCCAGGGACUGGCCCAGCCCCAUGGCAAACAGGGCUGAAUUGGGCGAGCUGACCCUUGGACUGGGCGAGGAGGGACGACCCCGCACGCAGGGCCAGUGGUCACAGCGCCACCCUGGCUGUCCCUCACUUCACCCGUUGGGGACAGCCCCUUUGCCAGCACGGUGGGUGCUGAUCCUGGUUUCUGUUUCCUCUUCCUGGCUCAACCCCUGCAGCCCCGGGCUCGCUCCCGGCUGUGGGGCAGGUGGGAACAAACGAAGGAGAAAAACCCACUCUGCGAUGUGCGGGAUCAUUGAAUGCUCUCUGGGCGGAAGCUCCUGGCUGCCUUUUCCAGCCCCAUGAGACGCGUGGCCGCCCAUCCCGGGACGUUUCUCCACAGGUGCCACGUGGCUGCACCCGCCUUCACCAGAGCAGGGAAACAGUUAAACUGAUGGCUCGAGGCCAGCCAUGCCCAUCCUCUGGGUGCCUCUGGCUCCCCCGUCACACUGCCAAACCUGGCUGCC
rnacentral:lncRNA from 1 species